GGCAGCGUGUUGUAAUGGUUAACACAUCAGUGAAGAUGCUGGUUACUGAAGAUGCUGGUUCACUCCCAGCCGCCGUUU
rnacentral:tRNA from 1 species